GUAUAGCCAAGAUGGCAGAGUAAUCCUCAGCAGCUCUAUACCAACAUGAGAAUCUUUCCCAACCAAAAUUAAAAUAUUGCCACAAAAUUAAUAUAGGAGUGAAAGAACCAACAAGAAGGCAGAGUGAAACAACUUUCAAGAAAAAAAAAACAAAGAUCUCCAAGCACUUACAAGGGAAAGAUUGCAUUACUACGAAUGAAUGUGAAACAGAGUUGCCUAAAGCAUUUCAACAGGUAUGAAGAGGAACAGCCAAGUGAGCAAGUGCUGCAAUGGAGUUGGGAUGAUAAUUGCCAGACAAGAGCCAAAAAGUGGACAAGGUGAAGAAGACAGUUUGAUGCUAGGCAUUGUCAAGGUUAUAGCUUAGCUCCUCCUAGGAAUUGUCUCUGGAAACUGAGAGUGAAGAAUAAAGGAGCAAUAAGGAGCAGAAUGAAGAAUUGUUCAGUGAAUGCUUUUUUGUUAUACAUUUUUCAGUUUCCUUGCUUCCUGUAAAUUGAUUCUCUUUUCUAUUUAGUAGAAUUCAUUAGAAGUGGAUAGAUAUUUCUAA